UCACUACCAAUUUGUAAGUCGCUCUGGAUAAGAGCGUCUGCUAAAUGACUAAAA
rfam:Salmo salar isolate Sally breed double haploid chromosome ssa04, whole genome shotgun sequence.